CUGGUCUUAAUAGUUUCAUCUCUUUCUUUUUCUUCUAUUGAUUUUUUGUUUUAAUUCCUUUUAUUGCCUUUCUGAAAAAAAGUAAUUGCCUUGUUGAUUUGCAAGCAAAUUUUGGUAAAGUUCUUAAAUAUUUGAGUUUAGAUCUUCUUUGAGAGUGCCGCUAUGGGAGUGAAGGGUUUUGUUGAAGGAGGCAUAGCCUCAAUCGUGGCCGGGUGUUCGACCCACCCGCUUGAUUUGAUCAAAGUCCGAAUGCAGCUCCAGGGUGAAAGCCAUGUUCCCAAUCCGGCUGUUCAAGCACUCCGCCCUGCUUUAGCCUUUCAGACAACCACUACUACCACCUCCUCUGCUAUCCACAUGCCUCCUCCGCCGGCGCGUGUUGGACCUGUGGCCACCGGGAUCAAGAUCUUCCGGACCGAAGGCGUCGCUGCUCUUUUUUCUGGCGUCUCUGCUACCGUCCUCCGCCAGACCCUCUAUUCCACCACCCGCAUGGGACUCUACGACAUCCUAAAACAGAAGUGGACUGAUAAAGAGACCAAAACAAUGCCUCUCUCGCGGAAAAUCACCGCCGGGCUAAUCGCCGGGGGGAUCGGCGCUGCCGUUGGGAACCCAGCCGACGUGGCGAUGGUGCGAAUGCAAGCUGACGGACGC
rnacentral:lncRNA from 1 species